UACGUAGGCAGCGAGCGUUUGUUCGGAAUUACUGGGCGUAAAGGGUGUGUAGGCGGUGCUCUAAGUUCGGUGUGAAAUCUCCUGCUCAACUGGGAGGGUGCGCCGGAAACUGGAGUGCUUGAGCGUGGGAGAGGAAAGCGGAAUUCCUGGUGUAGCGGUGAAAUGCGUAGAUAUCGAGGAGGAACACCUUGUGGUGUAGACGGCUUUCUGGGACCAUAGACUGGACGCUGAGACACGAAAGCCGUGGGUAGCAAACAGG
rnacentral:rRNA from 1 species